CGGCGGACGGGUGAGUAACACGUGGAUAACCUACCUAUAAGACUGGAUAACUUCGGGAAACCGGAGCUAAUACCGGAUAAUAUAUUGAACCGCAUGGUUCAAUAGUGAAAGACGGUUUUGCUGUCACUUAUAGAUGGAUCCGCGCCGCAUUAGCUAGUUGGUAAGGUAACGGCUUACCAAGGCAACGAUGCGUAGCCGACCUGAGAGGGUGAUCGGCCACACUGGAACUGAGACACGGUCCAG
rnacentral:rRNA from 1 species